AGCUAGCACUCCUAAGAGUCCAGGGGAAUUAACCAAGCAGCCAGCAGUAGACAUGGAAGCAGCCAGAACUCCUAAGAGUCCAGGGGAAUUAACCAAGCAGCUAGCAGUAGAGGAGCCUAAACCUCGAAAGCGCUAUAUUAGCACAAGUUCUGAUGAAGAUGAUUAUUUUCCACCAGCUAUACUGCUAAAAGAGGAAGCGAAUGAGGUCAACCAAAGAUGGAUCAGCAUGUUGGAGAUGAAUGCCUCAGAUAACGCUGUAAUGCCGGCUCCUUCAACGACUGAACAAAGUUUGUCAACAGCCAACACCUUCAGCUCUUUGGAAAAUGGCAUCACUAGGAAGCAUUAAAAUGCAGGAUUCUGCAGAUCUGACAUCAAAUCAGCCCUCCCAUCUCAUCCUUAGAAGCAUUCUUGGGAUUCAAGCCGAUGAAACGGACAAUAUUUUACCAAGAAAAUGUAGGGGGGCAAUGAAAGCCAUUGUCAGAACAACUGUGUAUGCCAUUUUAAAGCACUGUUUAAUGCAACACAUGAGGGAGUCAUGCGCUGACUGUGUCAUAGAUGCCCUGGGACAGAGUUCUCAUGAGUGUCUUUUCUGGAGGGAAACAGAUUUCUAGGAAGUUACGAUUUAUUAGUGGCAAAAUAUGCUUUAAAAAUGUGCUUCAUGUUGUUAUCUUAACAGCUUACAGUCUGAAUUGUCUUGUUCUAACACAAGAAACUGUUAAUGAGAUAUUAAAUCUGGUUACAAAGGUAGCCCGUUCCCAGGACUCUAUUAAAAUUGUUGAUCAGAUCCUGAAGCGCACUGACCAAACGUUUCUAAAACAUGUUGAAAGUGUCAUCAGAAACAGAGGCUAUAGAAGUUUUUUCAGUUCUCAAUUUUAGAAGGCAGAUUUCAUCCUCUAAAAUUGAGAAUGCGUGCUCCAUGUUGUUAUCUUAUCAGCUUACAGUAUGAAUUGUCUUGUUCUAACACAAGAAACUACCGAUGAAAUAUUCUCUGGUGACU